UACAGAGGGAUGCUACCGGGCGACCGGAUGCGGAUCUCGAAAGCCUGUCCCAGUUCGGACUGGAGUCUGCAACCCGACUCCACGAAGUUGGAUUCGCUAGUAAUCGCGCAUCAGCCAUGGCGCGGUGAAUACGUUCCCGGGCCUUGUACACACCGCCCGUCACACCAUGGGAGUCGGAAAUGCCCGAAGUCAGUGACCCAACCGUAAGGAGGGAGCUGCCGAAGGUGGAGCCGGUAACUGGGGUGAAGUCGUAACAAGGUAAC
rnacentral:rRNA from 1 species